rnacentral:rRNA from 1 species
UACGUAGGUGGCGAGCGUUGUCCGGAUUUACUGGGCGUAAAGGGCUUGUAGGCGGUCCGUUAAGUCCGAUGUGAAAUCUCCCGGCUCAACUGGGAGAGGUCAUUGGAUACUGGCGGACUAGAGGGGGGUAGAGGAAAGCAGAAUUCCUGGUGUAGCGGUGAAAUGCGUAGAUAUCGUAAGGAAGACCAGUGGCGAAGGCGGGUCUCUGGACAGUUCCUGACGCUGAGGCACGAAGGCCAGGGGAGCAAACGGG